rnacentral:sRNA from 1 species
AGGACAGGGGGGUAAACCGCAGAUCCCACGCGGCGGUUCCUGGCCUCGGCGGUCGCGCAGCCCGCGCGCUCGCACGGUUGUCGCUCGGGGGUGAUCGCCG